rnacentral:rRNA from 1 species
GAUGAACGCUGGCGGCGUGCCUAAUACAUGCAAGUCGAGCGAACAGACGAGGAGCUUACUCCUCUGACGUUAGCGGCGGACGUGUUAGUAACACGUGGAUAACCUACCUAUAAGACUGGGAUAACUUCGGUAAACCGUAGCUAAUACCGGAUAACAUUUUGAACCGCAUGGUUCAACAGUUCAAGACGGUCUUGCUGUCACUUAUAGAUGGAUCCGCGUCGCAUUAGCUAGUUGGUAAGGUAACGGCUUACCAAGGCAACGAUGCGUAGCCGACCUGAGAGGGUGAUCGGCCACACUGGAACUGAGACACGGUCCAGACUCCUACGGGAGGCAGCAGUAGGGAAUCUUCCGCAAUGGGCGAAAGCCUGACGGAGCAACGCCGCGUGAGUGAAGAAGGUCUUCGGAUCGUAAAACUCUGUUAUUAGGGAAGAACAAAUGUGUAAGUAAAUAGGCACGUCUUGACGGUACCUAAUCAGAAAGCCACGGCUAACUACGUG